CAGCAAUGCCUUCUUUGGAACUACUUUUACUGCAACCUGCAUACGCCGAACAAUAUAAAGAGUUAUAUGGUUCACAAUCAUGGACACUUGCACAAUGUAAAGUCAUCAUGUAGUGUGAUCAGGAGAUACCAAAUGACAACUGUGGGGACGCCUUGUUUAGUUCUAGUGGACAUUCAUUCGUUUUGAAACGAAUACAUGUUUUUGGACAUACAGAAAGAUGUUACACUAUUGGACUCUGGUAUUAAUUCUAAAUUUAGCAUAAAGAUCCUUUGUUAUGUAUAACCCUUGCAUAAACAGUUCAUGGACGAUGCUACAUUUGAACAAUCUGAUUGGAAUACACAUCAUAUGUCCAUUCUUCACUUACAGUGAUCUGACAACGCUUCGUUCUCCCCUUCUGUUUCAAUCACUUUUCGGUAUCCUCUCGUUUCAUUUUAAUUAUCUACACACCUUCAAAAGUGAGAAGGGGGAUAUUUCAUUGGCUGAUGUAAUAAUUACCAGAUCAGUUUUGUCAGAUCCAUGUAAGCGAAGCGUGGGUACAUGAUCUAUGUUUCAAUCAGAUUGGCAUUUGAAUACAUCAAGUUUGAGAAAACGCGAAGCUUUUCUAUGUUUACUCAAUAAACACAAAACUUCAUUAUCCCUGUACAAAUGGUGGUAAGCCUUGAAAAUAUAUCAAAAUUUAUAUAUUUACAUUGAAUUUCACAUAAAGAAAAUUCACCUUGAUCAAUAUAGAUAUAUAAGAUACAUCCGUUCAGCCCCUCAAUCCCUAAACUUUUAGUGGAGCAGGAUCUGCUUACCCUUCCAGAGCACUUGAGAUCACCCCCGGUUUUUAGUGGGGUUCGUGUUGCUCAGUCUUAAGUUUUGUUGUGUUUUGUAUACUGUUGUUUGUCUUGACUUUUUCUUUUUUUUUUGCCAUGGCGUUGUCUGUUUAUUUUUGACUUAUAAGUUUGAAUGUCCCUUUGGUAUCUUUCGCCUUUCUUUUCCAAACUUUCACAUUAAAUUGGAACGCUAUCUACAAACUUAUAAUGGAAUACCAAUGGGUUAAGCAUUGGCUCAAAAAGUUGCUAAUAUCUUUUUUAGACAAAUCAGAACAAUACAUUCCCAAUACUUCUAUUUAAAAACCUCUUUCUUUGUAUCGUAUUAACAUAAAGUGGAAUAAUAUAUUAUUAACUUUUGAUGAGAUAAAUAUAUGGUUUUAUCUAUCUUUGAACCUUUGAAAUAAGACUAAUAUUCAUGCACAGAGGCCAACACAGAUAAACGACAUAUUUACAAUAACAAAAGACAGUUCUUGUUAAAUUCCAUCUUACAAGGAUAGAAAAUGCAUGUUACGACAAUUAUUAAAAAAAACAAAGAAUUUUACCAUGAAAUUAUACAUUGUACAUGCAAGAGCACAUGAUCUUCAACACGGUGAUUAUCAAUUCGGUGUUUACUUGCACGUUGGUUAAGCGCUUUCCUUUCUUCAGAUAGUACGGUGAAAUUAUUUUUCACAUUUCCUAACGUGAAGACGCUGUCUGAUUCAAAAUCCAAUUCACAUAGAAAACCUACCAAACUUAUACGUAUGUUGAAUAAAUUCCCACUUUCAUUAUUCUUUCCAACGACGCAAAUUCCUUAACAUGGCAUAUUUGCAUCUUAAAAGACAUUUUUCGAUACUGUUACACAAGUAGGGGGAUGUACUCAUAUGGAAACAUCUGUAUUGCAAGCAAACCAACAGACAAUUCCAAACAACUUUCUUUCCAGAACUGUAAUCCUUAACCACCAUAGUAUAAUCAUACUCUAUAGCCAGGAUCUCGAAAGUAGGUGGAUAUAUUUCAUCAACGAACCACAAACAAAACACUAUCUAAGUAACAGAUGUAUUGAAUGUGGCUGUACAUGUUCUGUGUCAGAAUUGUGACACUUAAUCGCCAAUUUUUGCUAUAGGAUUGUUUUUAGUGUUUUUUCACAUAUGCUGACUAGUAUAUAUGGUCAUUGUUUUUGACAAACAAUGCAUACUUUAAAGUCUGACAUGUUCAUUUUUCAUAAUGAUUCCUUAUUAUUGUUCGUUGUCAAACAUUUGUUUAUUCCCUAAGAAAUAAAACGUUUUGCCCAUUU